AAAAUUAAAACUACUUCAUCAAAACCAAGUCUCUAAGCAAUGGAUGUCUUGGCUCUCACACGAUGAAGAACGUGGCAUAAUGUGUUAAGUAACCGGAGUUGCAAACAUCAUGACAGGUUAAUCUUUGAAUGCAAAUUGCGCUAAACUCGAUCUCGGUCGAGAAGCAUGGGUGUGACAGUACUACAUCUUUUAUAAUAAUUCUUAUUCUAAGCGAAUAAGUAAAUAAUAUAUAAGACAAACAACACGUAGUCUGCCAUACGCAGGAAGACCCGCUGAACUGAAGCAUCUCAUUAAGCGG
rnacentral:rRNA from 1 species